UGUUGGAAGCUGUGGGUGGGAUUAUAUUCACUGUGCGUGCCAAGGCAUAGGUAAACAGCAGUAAUUUGUUCUUUCUUACUAAUUUAGAUUACCUGUUUAAAAAUGUUAAGGGACAGUAACAUAAGAAAUCAAGACACUUGUCUCCUAGUUCCAUCUGUUCUGCUCUAAUUUUCCAUCGCUAACAUCAAGACAUUCCUUCCCUGAGAUAGAAUAAAUCAUUUUGAAGACAAAAUAAGGCAAUAGCAUAACCCUAUUUUCACUUCCGGGUAUUUAAGGGUUUUUGUUUGUGAUCUUACUGCCUACGGUCGUGAGCACAGAGAGCUGAGAUCCUCUCUUCUCAUGCCGCAGUCUAAACCCGUCCAUGACACAAACUUCAGGUGUUAGUGGGUGUUUAGUGAGGCGGUCUGGAGAUGAACUGUCUGAAAGGAAAGUCGAAGGAGUUGUGUCUUACAACAGCCAUGGAUGGCUUGGUCCCUGCUUCCGUGUGAAUGGUAGAUGUCAUUUGGCACUGUCAGCAAAACGCUGAUGAAUCUAUUUCUUAUAUUUUAUUUAUUAAUAUUGUACUUCAUACUUCAUAGCUUUGUGUGAACAAAAUUUCAUUUUUCACAAUUUAAAGAACUGUAGCUCCCCAACAACAUGCUCAGAUUUUGAUUGUGAUUAGUGUACUGAUUGAGUAGUUAGUUACAUGUUGACAUUCCGCCUGCCAGCCUUCAGUCCACAAGUACUCUGUAAAUUCUCAGUUUCAAAUCAGACUGUGUUGGUUGCUGCACUUAUUAAUCAGUCUAUCCUCCGACAGCAAAAGGUGUAGUUGCAUCCUUGUUUCCUGUAAUAUUUUCCAAAGUGGAUCAUUGGAAGAGGGAUUUGGUCCCCAAAUAACGCAACUUUAGCAAAUGAAAUAAAAAGUUGUUUUUUAUUUAUAUUUAUUUUAUUUAUAACAAUAAAAUGUUGUCAGUGAAAUUCAGCCUGAGGAUUGGUAGAUUGUGUGGAAAUAGCUAAACACCAUUGUUUGAAAGACACUUACAUUUCUAGCUGAAGGGACUUAGAAAAGGCACUUAAGCAACUAAGGGGGGUUUGAUUAAAAGGAUGAAGUUGACGGGAGGAAGUGAUGGUAUUAGAAAGAAACAAAAGAAGAAAAAAGAAAAGAAAAGCACUUCCUACUAACUAAAGGACUUUUAAGAGAUACUUGACAACAUUACAGGUACAAAAAUAGGAUAUUGGGAACGGAUCCAGACUGAGAAAGGUGAAAACUGUUUCCAGGGCAGAGAAAAGAUGAUCAGCGUGCGGUAAACGAAGAGAAGAUGGCAGCUGUCCAUCUGCUCUUAGCAGUUCAUUCUCAGUGCUUCAAAUUGCAGUGUGCUAAUAACUUUAUUUUCUAUUCAUUAAAUAGUAAUACACAUUGCUGUUUAGAGUUUCCCUGUUCUGAUAAUUUUCAUGAGAAUGGCUCCCUUAGAUGUUUGAACAGUUUGGGAAGGAUUAGGAGGUGUGGCCUUAUUGGAGGAGGUGUGUCACUGGGAAUGGGCUUUGAGAUUUUAAAAGCCCACACCAGGCCCAGUCCCUCUCUCUCUCUGCCUGCUGCCCGUGGAUCAAGUUGUAAAGCUCUCAGCUACUCCUCCAGUGCCAUGCCUGUCUGCUUCUCACCAUGAUGAUCAUGGACCAACCCUCUAAAGCUGUAAGAAAGCCCCACUCAAAUGCUUUCUUUUAUAAGAGUUGCCUAUAGUGUCUCUCG